UUUAGACUACUCAUUCUAGAGCUCCUAGUUUUCCCUCUAGUAGCCACCUCUUGUGCCAAGUGAUCCACAGCGAUUUUGUAACCUUCGACUGUAUUCUUGAUCUUCAAGUUUAAUCCGAGGAAGGGUCGCCGGUCCGGCCCACAGGGUUCUUUGGCUUCAAAUCUCAGUUUGUACCCUUGCUGGAAUUUCUGAAGUUCUUGUGUUCUUGGUUUCUCCCUUUCCCCUCUCUUGUGGUUUUGUGGAGAACCUUCGAGUUUUUUUGAUAUGGGUGUUGUUGGGGAUUGAUUUGUGUAGAGAUAGACUCUUUGGAUCACUGCAUACGCCCUCACGGUGCAGUUCUUGGUCGUGAUCCGACUUGAGUUCUCUUUGAGUUCGUUUUGAGAAAACCCCAACAAAACCCCAUUCUGUUCGUAUUUUCAGAUCUGCGGUUGAUUCACAAGUCCGAUUGAGCUCAAAAUUUGUGGAGACCUUGGAAACAUAUUUCUCCAGGUGUGUGUAAAAUUUCAUCUCAAUCAGUUCGUUUGCUUAAGUUUUACAUCCGAGAACAGAAUUUCGUGCUGCUGAAAUCAGCACUUGUUCGCGACACGGUUUUGGACCGAUUCGGACUUUUCGGUGUCCGAUUUGCGAUCCGUUUGUUUUGCUGGUCUCAUGUGAGUAUUAGGAACAUUUUGUAAUCAUGAGAUCACUGGUUCGCUGAUGUGUUCUUGGUUUGAGCGCUUGCUUCAUCUCAAUUGAAGUGAGGUGUUCAUUUCCAGUGUUUGGAAGCAAAAUUUGAUUGGCUCCUAUUCACCCCCCUCUGGUCGCCUCACCGGUCCUUCAGUCCAAGAUCAAGCCUCGUAGCCUAACGGGAGCAUGUGCAGCCCACAAGUCGAGCAAGUGAGAGAUCAUACGCGUCCGAUGCUGCACAUCCUGGUCCUUUGGUUGGGCUAGUUUUCUUUUCCUAGCUCCCCUAAAAGUUCUCCGUGCACCUGGAGCCUCCAUGGCUGGCUUUCCAAAAUGAAUGUACGCAGUGCUAUGUAUAGCCUUCCAAAGUAUUUGGUAGACUGUGGCUUCAGUGUUUUGUCGGAAGUAAUCUACAGCCUUUGGCAGCA